rnacentral:rRNA from 1 species
GAUGAACGCUAGCGACAGGCCUAACACAUGCAAGUCGAGGGGCAGCACAUGCGUAGCAAUACAAUGGUGGCGACCGGCGCACGGGUGAGUAACACGUAUGCAACCUACCUGUAAGAGGGGAAUAACCCGGAGAAAUUCGGGCUAACACCGCAUAAUACCGAUUAACUGCAUGGUUGAUCGGUUAAAUAUUUAUAGCUUACAGAUGGGCAUGCGUAACAUUAGAUAGUUGGUGAGGUAACGGCUCACCAAGUCAACGAUGUUUAGGGGUUCUGAGAGGAAGGUCCCCCACACUGGUACUGAGACACGGACCAGACUCCUACGGGAGGCAGCAGUGAGGAAUAUUGGUCAAUGGGCGAGAGCCUGAACCAGCCAAGUCGCGUGAAGGAAGAAGGUUCUAUGGAUUGUAAACUUCUUUUGUAAGGGAAUAGAAAAGCUUACGUGUAGGCUAUUGUAUGUACCUUACGAAUAAGGAUCGGCUAACUCCGUGCCAGCCGCCGCAGUAA